rnacentral:rRNA from 1 species
UACGUAGGGGGCGAGCGUUGUCCGGAUUUAUUGGGCGUAAAGAGCUCGUAGGCGGUUUGGCAAGUCGGGUGUGAAAACUCCGGGCUCAACUCGGAGACGCCACUCGAUACUGCUAUGACUCGAGUCCGGUAGGGGAGUGCGGAAUUCCUGGUGUAGCGGUGAAAUGCGCAGAUAUCAGGAGGAACACCGGUGGCGAAGGCGGCACUCUGGGCCGGAACUGACGCUGAGACGCGAAAGCGUGGGGAGCAAACAGG